GGCGGCAUGGCCAAGCGGUAAGGCGGGGGACUGCAAAUCCUUUAUCCCCAGUUCGAAUCUGGGUGUCGCCUGAUAAAAAAA
rnacentral:tRNA from 1 species